rnacentral:rRNA from 1 species
AUAGCCAUGAACACAAGUGAAUUCAAAACAAGUUCACUCGCCAGAGAACUACUAGCCACAGCUUAAAACUCAAAGGACUUGGCGGUGCUUUAUAUCCAUCUAGAGGAGCCUGUUCUGUAAUCGAUAAACCCCGAUAUACCUCACCACUUCUUGCUAAAUCAGUCUGUAUACCGCCAUCUUCAGCAAACCCUAAAAAGGGAAAUCAGUAAGCUCAAUUAUAUUGUAUAAAAAAGUUAGGUCAAGGUGUAACCUAUGAAGUGGAAUGAAAUGGGCUACAUUUUCUAUAAUUCUAGAACAAACGAAAUCCUACAUGAAACUGGUAGGCUAAAGGAGGAUUUAGCAGUAAACUAAAAAUAGAGUGUUUAGUUGAACAGAGCAAUGAAGCA